rnacentral:rRNA from 1 species
AUACGUAGGUGGCAAGCGUUGUCCGGAAUUAUUGGGCGUAAAGCGCAUGUAGGCGGUUUGGUAAGUCGGUCGUGAAAAUGCGGUGCUUAACGCCGUAUGGCGAUUGAAACUGCUGAACUUGAGUGCAGGAGAGGAAAGGGGAACUCCCAGUGUAGCGGUGAAAUGCGUAGAUAUUGGGAAGAACACCGGUGGCGAAGGCGCCUUUCUGGACUGUGUCUGACGCUCAGAUGCGAAAGCCAGGGUAGCGAACGGGAUUAGAUACCCCGGUAGUCCUGGCCGUAAACGAUGGGUACUAGGUGUGGGAGGUAUCGACUCCUUCCGUGCCGGAGUUAACGCAAUAAGUGAUCCACCUGGGGAGUACGGCCGCAAGGUUGAAACUCAAAUGAAUUGACGGGG